rnacentral:misc_RNA from 1 species
CGUGACAAACAGUCUCGGCUUGACAUAGGUUAAAAGUUCGUUGUCUUGGUAACGUAUAAUAAGUAAGCAAUGGACAUAAGGUGUUGCGCGACUCUUCAUCAAGAUUCAACAGUUAUAAGCUGCUGGAUAGAAAUUAUCUUUGCUUAAAUAUUGUUUAAGCCAGUAUGAUUUAAAAAUUGUAAAGAAAAAAGUUUGAGUAAACACCGAUAAGAGAUAAGAAAUACUACCAUUAGUUGCUUUUGCAGGUUAUGACCUGGUUAGGUGCGUUUUUCGGCUUUUUACUGUUUUAUUCUGAUUUGGUUCUGUGCGAGGACUUCUCAGGAGCCGCAAUUGAUAUUUAUGACUCAAAAAGGGAUAUGACACAAAGCACUAGUCAACCGAUCAUACAGCUUAACAAUGUAACUGUAUCGCUUACAAAUACCAAUGAAUCAGACACAACGGCUAACCUAUAUGAAACACAGACUGCACAUAAACAGCCCAGCGUUUGGCAAACAACAGAUUCGGGCCAGAGAAAACAAACGAGUUUAAAUACUCAGACUACGCCCGAAAAGAGUACCAUCACCACCUUACAAAGUCGCUUAACAAGCAAGCGCGUAAGCCAAACAAUAUUUUAUCGUCUGUUUGAAGCACUUACAACUGAAAGACAAAGGACAAUGUUGAAAUCAACUCAACGAACAACCCAAGUUGAAAUUAGUAGCGAGGCAACAACAAUUGGUUUUAAAAGUUCGAUCCAAAAGAAAACAUCGAUAACCUCUCUUGGCACAGAAUUUCCACUAGAAAGUAGCACCAAAGAGAGAGAAAAAGCCUCUUCAAGGCAGACAAACAGAAUAACUACUGCUACUCAAUCGACUAUUAAAGAGGUUCGGACGACGGUUCCUGCUGUGAAUCCAGAUCAUUCAAGAACAACAUCUGAAUCAGAAUUGCUAUCAAAUGGAGCUUUAAUAGCAAUAGUGGCUGGCUCCAUAAUUAUAUUCGUGCUUUUAAUGACUGUGUGCAUUUUAUUAUGUAAGUGUAGGAGUCGGAACAAGAAAAUGCACUGCGAAAGAGAGGAAAGAAAAAUGUUCAUAACACCCACCGAUCUAGGAGAGCACUCUCUCUUUAUGGAGACAGCAAGGGCUAGUGUCAUAAAAACUGACUUUGAAAAAAUAACAUCUGACUACGAGUUGCCAAACGAAGAAAUUGACGAAAAAACACCUAUUAAUCAAAAUGAAGACGAUCAAGAAAUUGACUUAAGAGAAUCCUCGAAGUUUGUCUUAGAAGUCUUUCAUGAUCUCAAUCUUGAUAACGAUAUACCUCAAUUCAAUUACGAAUGCAACACGUUUACAAGGAGAAAACCUGAAGAAAUUCAACAACCAAAAAUUCGUAAAACGACAGAAAACUUUAUUACUACUCAUUUAUGACAAAAAUGUUAGUCGAAUGAGAUUCCAAAAACGGAUUUUUUUCCAUUAUUGUUAAGCAUCUGCAUACUAUUUUGAAGCUGGUUUUUCGUAUCUAACUUGUUACACUAACUUAUGUUAUUCGUUCCAAUGCCCCAAAAGUAAAAAGAUACUUUUACUCCAUAAAUCAAAUGUAGUCAAUCGCACACAAUAGGCGGUUGUAGAGAACGAAAAGUGCCGUUUCGUACUUACCGUCUAAACUAAAUUCCAAAGAUACAAGAAAAUAAAGUGGCCCACUUUAUAUCACUACCUUUAUUUUAUCAUAGAGGCUGAACAUAUUUUUGUUCAAGAGAUACUUUUAUGAGAGAAAAUUGAAAUACUUCCCGUCACAAUAGUAGCUCUCCUAUUAUCAUGCUAAUUUGUAGGGAAAUAGGCGAGAUAUUUAAUUUUACUACUAUUACUAUAUCCUGAGGAAGAAGAGAUAAAGAAAAAUCGAAAAUAAAUUGGUUCCAGCACGAAUCUUUCACUAUUUAUCUCUAUGUAUCUUUCCAAGUGAUCAAGAAAAGAAACUUCUCUCUCGUAUUAAAGUAUGCAGAUUCAAAAAGAUGAAAAUUUAUAUAUGCAUUUGAGAUAUUUUUUUUGCAUGACUUCUGCCAAAAUCUACUCCAUAAACCAUAUUUUGAAUUCCUCCAUGUAAUCCACUUGAAUCUAUCUGAGAUUCUUUAUUACCAACUUUUUUCUUUUUCUUGAAUAGUUUACAUUUAGCGCACCAUUUGAUAAAAACCACACAGGCAUGAACUAAUAUAACAAUAAGAAGAAGUGACCCUAAAAUUACGGCGACAACAAUUUGAGUUUUUGAAGCUUCUUGAGAGGAUUUUUUUGAUGUUGAUAACAUGGACGUCAUCCUAAUAAUGAGAGCUACGGGAAUUGUUCAUAUUGAUUUUGCAAUUGUCGCUACUGGAGUUUUUAUUGCAUUAAGGUAAUUUAAGAUUUUAGGCUAAGUCUUAAGGGUUUAGGUAAUUGGAGGAAACAUUAUUUAUCGAAGAGGUAGAUGAAAUUUAGUUAUACUCUCUAUAAUUGUCGCCCGGCGAGUAUACUCGUGGCUAGUAGUGACAUCUGCAUUCAGUUAGAGUGUUACUCUGUCAAGGAACUUCACAGUUCACUGCCUUCUAAUCCUAGAAGAAUUGGAUUGAACAGAUGCGACAGAGCGUAACAAUUGCUGCUUUACGGUUUUUUUAUCCUUUAAGUGAUGAGAUGAUCCAAUUUCCCUUAAAUAUAGAUGGCAAAUAGAGUCAUAAGCGAAUCCUUAUUAAUACCAGAAUUUUGAGCAAAAGAUUGGUUGUUCGAAGGAACAGUAUAAAUUUUUAUAAAUAUUUAUACUCGUAUGUAUUAUGCAUGUAAUUUCUUUUCUAUAUCGCGAGAUACUUUACUAUGGAAUAAUCUCAGCUUCUAAAUUUCGAUAAAUGGCCUCCAGUGAGUAAAAAACUGCUAGAUAAAUGUGUUCCAUUUGAGAGGGAGAGAAAUAACAGCGCUAGCCGUUUAAAAGUCGAUUGGUUUACUUCGUUUACAGUGAAAGUUGUUAACUAAAUCUUACCAGGAAGCUCAGUUGAUUCAAUUCGCUUCCUACCGGAUCUUAACUAUCAUUCCAUUUAAGUGGCUGCUCACAAAUUUUCUAUGGACUGCGAAAUUCUAAAAAGAAUUCCACAUGACUAUACUAGAGAAUGCUUUGACCCGAUUGACACGUCCGUUGUCAUAGAGACGCUUUUACAAGAUUAGCCUACCAUUUCGUUCUGAGCGUAGUCGCUCUACUGGAAACCUUAUAAAAUAGAAGGACGCCCUGAGCGCCUAGCUUACUUCCUCUUUUUAAAAAUGAUAAAGGAAGCGUUAUGUAUCCAUGGGAACUCUCGGGGAAGUUGAAUGCGCAAAUUUUUCCGCAAGGUACUUACCCCUGUUUCUUUAUCCGUCAAUGUCUGAGUUAAGCCACUGUUCGUGAUUUAUUGCCUUCCAUCAUCAAUUUGUCAACAUCCUGUUGCAAGAGAAAUACAAUGAGAAAGUUAAUUCUAAUUACUCUUAUUAAAUUGAUUUUUUUCUGAAAUUAUAUUUGUUUGAUAAACAUUUGUUUGAAGAAAAAAGCGUUUGAAGCCAGUUGGAGAGUUCGUAUAUUUGCUAGAUUACAAGCUAGUUUUGUAUAAAUUGGAAAUUAAUUGUAAAUUUUUUAAAUGACUAUUAUAAAGCUGUCAAAUGUUGAAAAUGUUCUAUUAACGACUGAAC